rnacentral:tRNA from 1 species
UGCGGGAUGGUGUAAUGGUAGCACACGUGACUCUGGAUCACGUUGUCUAGGUUCGAAUCCUAGUCCCGCAGCCA